UACAGAGGUCUCAAGCGUUGUUCGGAUUCAUUGGGCGUAAAGGGUGCGUAGGUGGCGAGGUAAGUUGGAUGUGAAAUCCCGGGGCUCAACCCCGGAACUGCAUUCAAUACUGCCUUGCUAGAGUACUGGAGAGGAGAUUGGAAUUUACGGUGUAGCAGUGAAAUGCGUAGAUAUCGGAAGGAACACCUGUGGCGAAAGCGGCUCACUGGACCAUUACUGACGCUGAUGCACGAAAGCUAGGGGAGCAAACAGG
rnacentral:rRNA from 1 species